rnacentral:rRNA from 1 species
CCUACGGGAGGCUGCAGUGGGGAAUAUUGGACAAUGGGCGAAAGCCUGAUCCAGCCAUGCCGCGUGUGUGAAGAAGGCCUUCGGGUUGUAAAGCACUUUCAGUGGGGAAGAAAGCCUUGGGGCUAAUACCCUCGAGGAAGGACAUCACCCACAGAAGAAGCACCGGCUAACUCCGUGCCAGCAGCCGCGGUAAUACGGAGGGUGCGAGCGUUAAUCGGAAUUACUGGGCGUAAAGCGCGCGUAGGCGGUCUGAUAAGCCGGUUGUGAAAGCCCCGGGCUCAACCUGGGAACGGCAUCCGGAACUGUCAGGCUAGAGUGCAGGAGAGGAAGGUAGAAUUCCCGGUGUAGCGGUGAAAUGCGUAGAGAUCGGGAGGAAUACCAGUGGCGAAGGCGGCCUUCUGGACUGACACUGACGCUGAGGUGCGAAAGCUUGGGUAGCAAACAGGAUUAGAUACCCUGGUAGUC